rnacentral:lncRNA from 1 species
UCGUGGAUAUGAGAAGACAAAUUACACUUUUUCUUAGUCAAACGUGGGUCAUAAUAAAUAAAAUUCAUUGUAAAAUUUCUCAAAUGGAGAGUAAUUAGAUCAAAUUUAUUGUAAAAUCUCUCAAAUGGAUAGUAAUUAGAUCAUGUUGUAGAUCAAUAAAGUAGUCGCAACACACUUGAAUUAACAUAAGAUUUUAUUGUAACAUUUUCUCACAAAGAGUAAUCAUCAUAUAAAAGACUUUGUAUCAGUUAGAUACAAACUCUACACUUACGUACAAUGACCAGUAUUGACAACAACAUUUAUUAACAAUGUACUAUAAAGAGAUUGUAAACACUUAACCUCGCAGAUAUAAGAAGACAAAUUAGGUUUUGUCUUAGUCAUGAUAUUCUCUUGAAUGAUGAAGUAGACAUGAUUGGCUAACAAAGGAUUUAGAAAAGAUAAAUGAUUCGUAGGAUUUCAUAAUAUAGCCUAUGGUGAAAGAAUAUACUUUGAAGUUUGCAACUGGUGGAUUAUAAUGGAUUAAAUCCUUUUAGAAUAAAAGGCAAAAUCACUCUGAUAGGGGUGGAUUAGACCGACUAUAUGUUUGGAAAUUGAACUAGUAUAAAAAUAUUGUGUUAUUCUCUCAAUGUCAUUCUUCUCAUUAUGUUUUGAUUGUCUUAUUUAGGUCAAGUUAUUUAUAGUUUAACUUCACAUUCACAUGUGCUUCAAAUGAAGUUAAAUGAUUUCAUAAAGAAUUAACUUUAGUUUAUAAAACUUUUUAAAAACUUUCCAAAUAUCAUUACCUCUUUGUCGUGCCCGAUCUAGGAGUGGGUAAUAAUGAUCCACAACAAUUGUCAAUUUAAGAGAAAAAUGGAUAAAUUUGGUUGGCAAUUGAGUGAGAUAGGGCGGGGGAUGGUGGUGGAGAUGGUUUGAAGGGGGAUAAGAAGAAAUGUGUGAAAUUUGUGAUUUUUGAGACCAAAGACCUCUAUUUAUAGAGUUUGGAGAGUAUUUUUUUUUCUUCAAGAAACUAAAUUAGCACAUCCAAAUUGACACCAGGGUGAAUCAAACCUGAGACCUCGAGAGGUAUUAAAAGAAUUUGGAGAGUAUUAAAAGACACACGAUUUAUUUUGACUCUAAUUACAUCUCACCAACUGAGCUUCAAUCUAACUCUCAAGACACAAAAUAAAAAGCCUUAGAAACAAAUAAAAUCAUUUUGUCACUAAUAAAAUUUACUGACGCAUGACAAUUUAUUUUCCGUCGGAGUUCUCAAUCUAGAACUUAAAAAUGUAGAGAUUCACAAAAUCUUGCUAAAGAUGACAUAUAAAGUCUCUUAAAUAUUAGUGACCAACAAAGGUUCUUAGAAUAUAAGCACUAGAUGAAUUUUAGUCCACCUUCACCAAAAAUCAAUUGGAGUUAUUUUCUCAUAAAAUAAAUUUAAUUCACAAAGCACAGGCCAUAAAAACAUAUUAACAUACUUUUUUCAUUCUCAACGAAACAUGAAAACUACAUUGCCAAUAAUGAACUUUUCAUGUUCUCGAGGAAUUAUCGAUGAAUUUGAAAUGUAACAUAUAUACAAGACAUAUCUCUCCUAUAGUUUCGGGCUCACAUGAAAUCACACAUACUAUCCUCUUUUUUUAUAUUAUCCCUUUUUUGUCGAGAAAGGUUAUCAAAUAAUAGAAGAUUGGUAAAAUAAGAAUGAAUUCUGAUGAUUGGUAUGUUUUUACGUUAACUCUUUACUAAGUACGACAAAGGGACAAAUAUAACACUUGAUGUACCUAAGAGACAUUUAAUAAUGUUUGAACUUUAGAAAGGUUGUUUAACAAGUUUAUAAUUGCUAAAAACUAGUUAAGGUGUAUAAGAAAAGGAUGAGUUUUAUAAAUUAUAAAGUGAUAUAAGAUCAUAUAAUAUCUCUUAAAUGUAAAGUUAGAAAAUAUGGUUAAAGUUUUCAAGUUUACUUAUCUCAUGAUUAUCUUUUUUUCCUUAUUUCUUGUUGCAAUGAACGUUGAUGGUAAUCUAAUUUUAUCUUUUUUAAAUUUCCUUAGUUACUUCCUAUAUAAUAUAAUAUUAUAAAUGUUAAUAUCAUCCUUUUAUUCCAUUUUUUCAUUACAGCGGUUAUUGAAUGUAAUCAACAUUCUGAUUGUCCAAAAGAUAUGUGUCAAUUUCAUCUUAAGCCGAAUUGUAUUUUAAUGAAGGUGCGGUUGUCAAAUUUUUUCCCCAAUUUCUACGACGGUAUAUGUGGAUGUGAUUGAUCUAUGUACCCAUAAGAUUCCGCAAGAAAAUUCUACAAGAUGUUGUUUUGUUGUUGUGGUAGCACCCACUAAUUUGAAUUCUUUUUUUGCUUUCUUUCUAUUUUCAUGAACCUUGUACUUUUGGAUUUUUUACUCUAAGAUGAUUGAAAUAAAAUCCAAAAAAUUCAGCAAAUAAUAUUAUUUAGAUUUCUUUAUAGAUUUUAUUUCUCGCUUUACAAUUGAUGAAAUCUUAAGAAUCACUUAGCAGAAUCAAAAACUAAUAUAAUAACAAAAUCCUAAAUAAUGAGUAAAGAGUACAUGAUGAAUGAGACUUACCAAUCGAUGGAAAGAGAAAUUCCUAACAAUAAAAUUGUUUUUUUUAAGAUUGGAGAUCGAUAAAGAGUGGACAAUAAUAUGAAUAGUUUGGAUGAUUUAGUGAGAGAGUUCUUGGAGUCUAGGAUUUGAAUUAAUCAUCUCAUGUUAAACUAGAGAUUUGGCUGAGGUAUCAACUAAUAUUUCUCAACUGUGAUUUUAUUUCUUCAAACAAUUUUUUUUGGAUGGUGGCGGGGAUUUGAACCCCGGACCUUGCAUAAGCAUUGUCCCUACCAACUGAGUUAAGCUCACGAGGACAUUUCUUCAAACAAUUAACACCGAGGAUGAAACUUUGUCCAUUUGUCGUGGGUUCUUUAAGUAUUCCUAUAGAGUGUUAGGUAUGAUUGUUUUGGGUUUUACUUUUGCAUGGGUUGUGCGAUAAUUUUCUCUCGAUAAGGGGCUCAUGUCGCCCCUCACGUUUGAAUGACAACUUCCCAUUACAUGGCGUGAUCUAUUGACAAUAUCCAACAUGUGCAACACUUCCUUAAACAUGCCUCGUUACUCAUUGUUAUUUGUUGUUAAUGACACUAUAAACAAGGAAUGUAGGUUUGGUGCUUCAUUAUCCAACUCUAAUAAAUUUUAACUCGGUUUUAUGUCUUCAAGGCCCGCGUGCCUCCUGAGUCAAUUGACUUAAGAAAGAAUCAACUUACCCUUAUCUGGCUGACAUAACAUUUGCCUAAUCUUCCAUCGACUGAAGGGAAUCUAACAAAACUUCCAAUCCUAUUUUUUCCAAUUUCGAGUAACAUGAUAAUUAUGUUUAGCUGUAAACAAAUGGCCUCAUGUAUUGCAUUAUUGAUUGGUUUUCAAGCGAUGAGGUGAUGCGAUAUAACUGAACAUGAUGCACAUGAACAAUGUCAUUGUGCAAUAGAAACAUUGUAAUCAAGAUAAGGAAGGAUACAAAUAUUCAAUUUUGUUGUCUAUAUGAUCAAUAAGUUGUCUGAUUAUUUGUUAAGUUGAUUAAUACAAUUAAAGAACUAUGUACGUGAUAAACAAAUUAACAAAAUGUUAUCGACAUAAAAAACAAUAAUUAAUCAAGAAAUUGAGCUCAAGUGGUUAAUGAGCUCGACCAAGAACGAAUUGUUCGGGAGAUCCCUAGUUCAAUUCCUGGUGAUGAUAGAGCAUCAUAUGGUGUCUUAGGCUAUGUUUUUAGUUAUUUUAUUUACAUUUAAAGACAAUUUAGAGUUUAUUUGGAGGAGUUGUUCAUGGUUCGAGAGACAUUUUAUAUUGUUUUCAUUCGAGUCAUUGUAAUUCAAUUUCUUCCUUAAUCAUGCAACUCCAUAUGUAUUUUGAGUCUUUUUAUUGAAAAAUCAUGUAAUUCAGUAAAGCAAGACACCACAUGGAGAAUUAUGGAAAUUAAAAUGAAAACAGAUGCUACUUAAAAGGUUUUUGAAGAUAAUAUAAUUGAGGAAAAUUCAUCCCAAGACGGAAGAACGAUCUAAAAAGGACAAAAAAUUGCAGAUCGCGUGGUAAAAACACGCUUGCGGAUGGAAUAAUCUAGGGCGGCUACCUAAUGCGAUUAGGGGUGUUCGCAGUCCAGUUUGGAUCGAUUUUGAGACAGAAACUCAUUCGAUCCAAAGUUAAAAUUAUACGCGGUUUGGUUCGGUUUUGGAUGAUUAAUUUUAAAAAACCGAUCUGAUCCAAAUGCGGUUUUAAUUUGGAUUGAUUUUGUGAUAUCAAAAUUACAAACUGUAACUUUUUCAUUAAUAAUAAUCUUAUAAAAAUAUUAUAAAAUAAUAGGUUCAAUACAAAAUAUAACAUAUGAUUUAUAAAAAAAUAACUGUACAGAAUAAAAAUGAUUGAUUAUCUUUGAUACAUAAGAAAUAGAAACAAAAUUGAUUAAAUUAUACUCAUACGUUGUUAGACAUGCGAAUAUACUCAAAACCUAAUAUCAUAUUGUGCAAUUAGUUAAACUUGCCACCAUAAACUCCUUAUACUGCUUAGUAAAUUGCUUCGUUGAACGACAAUCACUGUAAAGACGAUGAAUUAUCACUUUAUUAUUUGUUAUGAUUUUGUGUACUUGCCAAUUCGUCCAUCACUUGACCAUACUAUACUUACGUCAUAGCUGAACUCUAAAUUAUCAGGAUUCGGUUCUAUGGAAAUCCGGGGGUUAACAUAAAAGAAAAUUAAGCUAGAAAGUUAAAAUCCACCAAAUUGAAAUUUUAAUUCAAAAAUGAAAUCCGUGAAUUUUUUUAGAACCUCUUUGUUCAUAAUGAGCAAGUAAUUAUGAUUGAUUUUUUUUUUUUUUUUUAACACAUUCUAUUGUUUAAAAUUCAUACAAGUCAUACUAAAUUAUGUAAGAUCCAUAUAAAUUUAAUUGGAUUAUAGGCGAAUAUAUUCAUAAUGGAUUGGGAACGAUUGCCCCCCCCCACCCCAAUAUUUUUUUACUUAAUUGUUCUUUGGUAAUUAUUCAAUACAUAUAUUAUUUUUGACUAUGAAGUAAGGCAUUUACCCAUUACGUGAUCUUUUAAAAAUAUUAGUACAAACAUAAAAAAUAUAUAGUUUUAGGUUUUUUGUUUCAUUUAGUUUAAGUUUUUAUUAUAAAAAAAAGUCCAUUUGAAGUUUUUAUCAUGUAGACAAACAAAUCCAUUUUGAUGUUAGUUAGAAGAAAAAGAAAAUCCAUUUUGAUGUUGUGAAGUAAUAAGUUAAUUUUUGGUAGUAUUAUGGGAUUUGUUUUGGUAGUGAAAGUAAUAAGUUAAUUGGAGCAACAUUUUCUUUUCAACGCUCUUUUUUAAAAAUAAAUAUUUUUUAUUUGUUUAAAUCAAAAAGAGUGUUACCGUUGAAAAAAAAGGGUGUUCCUAACAUUUUUCAACAAUGUAUAUAAAUUGUCACUUAUAAGUUUAAGGUUUAAAUAUGGAAAUGGUCCCUACAAAUAUUUAGUUCCUGCAAAUAUAUAAUAUUUAGUUUUGGUCUUUGGUGUUUUGUUUUAAUCUUUAUAAAAUUAUUUCAUAUUGAAAUUGGCCUCUAUAAUAUUCAUUUUAGUCCUCAUUUUGAAGGACUAAAAUCAAAUAUUCUACAUAUUACAAGGACCAAAUCCAAUAUAAAUCAAUUUUACAAGAACUAAAACAAAAUAGCAAGGACCAAAACCAAAUUUUUUAUAUUGACAGGGACUAAAAUAAAAAAAAAUAUUUUUACAAAACUAAAACCAAAAUGUCAAUAUUUGGAUUUUGAUAUUUAAGCCUAAGUUCAAAAUAGUUUUUUUGGCCAAACAGAGCAAAGAAUGGCGACGGAGAACACCGCAACAAUAAACCCUACCCACCCAAAACAACCAAAAGUGGUGGUCAUAACCGGCCCCACUGGCUCCGGCAAAUCAAAACUCGCCGUCGAUUUAGCCUCACACUUCCCCAUCGAAGUAAUCAAUGCUGAUUCCAUGCAAGUCUACCGUGGCCUCGAUAUUCUCACCAACAAACUCCCCUUCUCUGAACAAAACGGUACCACCGUAUUCUACUCGCACCUGAUCCCUCCCUCCUCCUUCGUUUCUCUUUCUGUUUUUUUUUUUUGAAUUUUGUUUUCGUUUUUUUGUUUGUUGAAGGUGUGGUGCAUCAUCUAUUGGGUUGUGUAAAUCCGAAUUUGGAGUUCACUGCUAAAACUUUUCGUGAUUCUGCUAUUCCCGUAAGUUCCAAAGAUGAUAUAAGAUUUUUUUUUUAUAUUUUUUUGAAUUUUAGUUGAUUAAUUAAUAUUUGUUUUUUCAGAUUAUUGAUGAAAUAUUGUCUCGUAAUCACUUACCUGUUAUUGUUGGUGGUACUAAUUACUACAUUCAGGUGAAUUUUUGUGUUCUAUCAUUUUUAAACCUUCAAUUUACUAUUUAGUAUCUAAUAUCUAUGCACAAUCAGAACUCUAGAAAAAUAUAAUCAAUAAUUUUUUAAAGUAUUCUCAAUCUAUUAAGUUAGGAUUUAAUUUGUAUACACUGAUGGGGUUGGGUAGCUCAACUGGUUUGAAGGAUAAGGAGUUGGAGGUCCAAUCUAAUCUAACUAUUAGUAAUUACUAACAUUUGUCAUUUUUAAAAAAAGUUGUAUACAUUGACAGUGUAAAAUUCUUUUACACAUGCAUCUGAUCAAAUCACUCUAUGAUUCCAUGACUUGAUUAAGUUAGUUCCUAAAAUAUCCCUUCAAAUAUCCAUUUGGCAUGACUUGAUUGGAUGCAUGUGCAAAGAAGUUUUACACCGUUGGUGCAUAGAAAUUAAUAUCUUAAGUUAGUCCCUUGGUUACUUUCGGAAUAGGAGUACUAGUUUCAAAAUUAAUUUGAUAGAUUAAUAAUAGUUGAAUGAUUUUUUACUACAUUUUUAUAGUUCUGGGCGCAGACCGCUGUUAUAACACUAUAGCAUAGCAUAAUAUAUGAACAAACAAGUCAGUAUUGUUAGGAUACACUAUUUAGUACAAACUAUUAAGUGUGUCAAAGUAGCUGCUUUUGCGGCGCUAUAGCACUGUAGCCUAGCGGAAAUUUGAACGAAUUGCUGUUUUCUGCUUUCUGCAAUUGACAACAUUGCAAACAGGAAGAUAGUUUAGUGAUCAAAUUAAAUGUUUAAUGGCUAUCUUUGAGUUUAACUAUUAUGGAGUGACAAUGCUAUAUUUUUUUUUUAUACAACUAUAAGAGAAACUAUUAAAGAAGAUCUAGAGAUUAAUGAGUUGGAUAGAGAUAUCAAAUAUGAUAUACAAUAGAAUAUUACGGCGCCCAUGUAGCCGGCCCCACUUAGUGGGAUAAGACUUGGUUGUUGUUAACAUCAUGGUGACAUAGUAUUGGAUACAUGUGUUCAACUUUACUUUUUGUUGAUAGUAAUUGAAGCCUGUUAUUUUUAUCUUGCAAUAUAAUGUAAUUUCUCAUCCAUUUUUCUUAUCCUUGUGUGCUUUAUAUGACUUUCUAUUCUUACUAUAUUUGGAUUUGUUUCGAGGUACCAGGUUCUAUUUUUUAUUUUUUAUUUCUUAUACCUUGACACUUCUCCCUGUUAUGCUCUUCAGGCUCUUGUGAGUCAGUUUCUGCUAGAUGACUCGACGGAUGAUUUGAGUGAAAGCUAUUUGGGUGACUCACCUGGUAAACUUCUAUCGGGUUAUCUAAUUUUUCACUUGGUUCAAUUAGUGUAUGCUUGGCUUCUAUUAUUUCCAGUUCAAUUAGUGUAUACUUAGCUUCUAUUAUAUUUGUAACAUUGUAGGUAUUACAGGAUUUGAUACUAAUUUUGUUGCUGAAAAUGAUAGUUCAAGCAACAGUUAUGAUUUGCUUAAAGAUAUUGAUCCAGUUGCAGCAAAUAGAAUCCAUCCAAAUAACCAUAGGAAGGUCAGAGGAGUAAUUUCAUUAUUUUUUCUUCUUGAGACACAGUAUACAAAGGGUCAGAGGAGUAAUUUCAUUAUUUUUUCUUCUUGAGACACAGUAUACAAAGGGCCAUCUUAUUCAUACAGUUAGAGUUAUAUAAAACAGUUUAUGCAUGUAUAAAAUUGUAAUUCUAAUUUUUAUGAUUUUAAGAGAAGUUUUUAAAGUUCCGACUUACAAUACAUUUAGUAGAAGCAUUAUGCACUUUCAAUUAGUCUCUGAGGCAAGCUUUUUGAUUUAUUUGAAUUUCUUAACUGGGGAUGGCAUAUUACACAUGAUUAAUUUUUUCGUUUGCAGAUAAAUCAAUACAUUAGUUUGUACUCUCGAACUGGUGUUCUUCCCAGCAAAGUUUUUCAAGGACAGGCUGCAGAGGUUUGUUAUCUUCUUUGACAUUCAUGGACUAAUUGCUAAUUCACUACCAACUCUUUAACCUUAGACGUGGUUUCUUUCAAGGUGUAUAAUUAGAAUGAUUUUCUUGGAAAUAUAAUUUCGUGGAAAGUUGAAAAACUUGUUUGGUACAUGUUUAAUAUUUAUAAGGAUAUUUUUAAAAAUUCAAACGGCCAUAGGACGAGGUGGGAAUUCAAGAUAUUUUUUAGUAUAACACUAUAACUUCCAUUUUCAUGUAAGUGGAAAGAGGACACUCACUCUCAGCAUGGGAAUAAAAAUGAAUACACAGGAAUGUCAUGUCCCCUGGAAACAAUAAUACUCUUUCGAAAUUAUUUAAGUUUGUACCAAUCACGAUAAUGUCAGUUAAAUAUUUUUUCCUGUUCUUUAAAUAAUGUUGGUCUUGCUUGUGGCAGGGCAGAAGUGGGGUCAAGCUGAUAACUUAAGAUAUGCUUGUUGUUUUAUAAGUGUGGAUGCAUCUCUCCCAAUACUGGACAGAUAUGUAGAGCAGAGGGUAGAUGACAUGAUGGAUGCAGGUUUACUCAAUGAAGUCUAUGAUAUUUAUACUAUGAAUGCAGAUUACACCAGAGGUUUGCGACAGGCCAUUGGUGUCCGCGAAUUUGAGGAUCUUCUAAGAACUAGUGUUUUCAAAAACAUAAAUCAAAGAGAGGGGGAAUUAAUUGAUGGAUCAAGCUUAGAAAAUAGUGAGCCAUUGUUUGAUGGCAAUUUGAUGGCAUGGUUGAGAUCUUUCUCUGAUACUAAGUCCACAACUCUUUUGGAAGAUGCAAUUGAGAAAGUAAAGGUUAAUACCAGGAGACUUGUCCGCCGUCAGGUAAAACCGUAAAAAUAAUGUUAUUUGUUCUAUGGCUUUCUGAACAAGCAUGAUUCACAGAACAUUUCUUUUGGUUAGAUAUGCAAGGGAACUGAAAAUGAGUCAUUUUUGUGAUAAUUCAGACAACAUAAAAUAGAAAAUCACUCUAGAUGCUUCAUUUAUAGGACAUUAUUUCGGAUGGAAGCUUGCACAAUAUUGGGAAUUUUGUUUUUGUUUUGGGGUCUAUAAGAUUAAGAUUCAGUUUAUCAAUUUUCGAAUCAGUAUUGGUUUCUUUUGUCCUGUCUAAAAUUUUGUUCUCACUUCUGUAAUGUGGCAUGUUGUUACUAAAUACCAUGCUAGUUUGAAGAAAUAAAUUUGAAGUCUAAGAUUGAUAUUGAAGUUUUGUUCAUGACAGAAGAGGAUGCUCAGUCGACUGGAAACAUUGUUUGGUUGGGACAUACACUACGUUGAUUCUACAGAAUCAAUAUUAAGUAAGCUGUCCCAAUCUUGUAAAUUUUCUGUUUUUAUCUUUUCAUGAAUUAACUUUUAGAAUUAUGUAUUGAUUUAGAUAUUCUAUAUUUUAGGCAAAUCAAAUGAUAUAUGGAAUAGACAAGUGGUUGAAUCAGCUACAAAGAUAGUAACAACAUUCGUGAGUGAGAAUGGAAGCUUGUUGUCAACCUUUGGGAUGUCAAAUGGCACUGGGACAAAAAUAAUCCAAAGGGACCUCUGGACUCAAUACACAUGCAAGGUCAGAUAGGAAAAUGCAUUAUUUUGCUUAGUGACCAAUCACCCUUGAAUCAAACUUUUUUUAUAAUAUGUUUGAGUUCUUGACGCCAUUCUCUACUACAAAUUGCAACCAAGAAAAUUUAAGAGGAAGCAGAAUUUUUAAACUACCAGAUUAAAGUUUAUCUGGAAAUUUAUAUUUGAAUACCCAAAUUUUUUCUGUUUAAACAAUACACUAAAUUUACAGAACACGCAAUGUCUGCUGUACUAGCGUAACAAUGUUACAAAUUCAUUAUGUCUUCACACUUAAUAUCAUUUAUCACAGUUUGUCUUUAUUCUCUACGCGGGUAUACUUUGAUUUUGGCUCUUAUAUUUAUAGGGGUGAACGAUUGAUGUGGAAUAAUUGUUUUGAACAUUCAUAGGAUCCUGUUGCAACACUGUCAAACAUAUUAUGUUUCUUAUGACCUUUCUGUUGACAGGCCUGCAAUGAUCGGGUUCUUAGAGGAUUACAUGAAUGGGAACAACAUAUACGUGGCCGUGGGCAUCGUAAACGCAUUUCUAGUCUCAAGAGCAAGGCAAAAGGUCUUAGUUUUGUGGAAAAGAAGUGCGAGCCAUCUGAGCACGAAUGCUCAGAUAUAUUGUAGUUUGAAAUACACUCCAGAUAUGAAAGAUAUGGAUCACUUGUCAUGGAAAGAAUUGAGAAUGGAUGUAUUCACACCUUUUUAUCUAGCAUAGUUUUUCCGCUGGAUAUUUUUGGGCACGUGCAAUCCUUUUUGUAACUUUUGAUGAUAUAGAAACAUAUGUAAAAUAGAAUUAGAUCGCAGGGAAUUAGAAGUAUUAGAAAUAUUUGUUUUCUGAAUGUUAUUUAUGGACAAAAAGUCUAAUUUGAUAAUUAAAUUAAGACUUAAGUAUACUUUUGAUCCUCUAAGACUUAAGUAUACUUUUGAUCCUCUAACUUUCUUAAUGUUGCGAUUUUGGCCCCUAAGAAAAAAAUAACAAAUUUAAUCCUCUAUAUUGUAGCCUCUUUGCAAUAUUAGUUCUUUUGUCUAAAUUUGACACCAAAGGGUGAUGACUAAAUUGGUACUGAGAAGGGUUUUCAAACUUGGAACAACAAUCCCUUCAAGAUAAUGAAGGGAAGAAAGUUCAUGAUUAGCAUAUUUGAUUCCAAGUUUUCCAUCAUAUGUGUUGUUAGCUUUCCUGCAAGAGGAUAAUAGUAAACCAAAGCCUUUGAGAGGGAUUCUUUAAUCACACAAGCAUGGUCUUUUUGGUCAUUUGGGAACUCAAGAUUGGAUUUGUAAACAUAAAUUGUUUGAUAGAGAAUGUUGAUGUUAGGAUCAAUAGUGGAAAGUGAAAGAAUUUCAGGUGUGGCAUGGAGGGUUUAGCAAUCAUAACUGAAGAAAUUGUUUGAUUCUCGACGCUUUGCACAAAGGUAUAUCUAAUGAUUGAUGUGGUGCUAUCUAAUGCAGAGUUACAAAUAAGCGCCUAACAAACAUUUAUAAUGUGUUUUAAAAACCAUUUCUAUUGCUAAUACUACUUUCAUCAACGGAUGCCAAGUAACACCUCGGACAGAAGGACUAGGGAAACCCUUCACAAGAAUGAACAAAGAAAAUAUGAAUGCAAAAGGCCUGUGUAUUAUUUAGCAGGAAAUACUGUCUACUUAUACAGCCAUAAGAAAAGUAGAAAGGCAGAAACGUUGCUACUAAUUGACAUAACUGAUGCCUAAAUAAAAGGAAAUCAAAUCAGCCACUUAAUCUUUAUUGCCUAUAAUUUAGGAGAAUCAUAACUGACUGUGCAGCUUCAUGGGUCAUUCAUUAAACAAUAAGCCCAACCAACUAAAGAAUAUUCAACCUUUUAGCCUACUAAGCAUAUGCAGAGUUUCCAUUAAGUUUAUUUAGCUGCAGCUUGCUACUUUUAUGGUCCAUUCCGAUCUCGAAAUCUCAACUUCUUUAAUCUAACGAGGAGGUCUUAAAUCGUGGUCACAGUAACUAUUGCAGUCACGUCACAAUCCUUGAUAUUGAAAAGAAUCAUGGUCAAAUGAGGCUAUGUGACCUUAAUCAGGGUCGUUUUGAGGUCACAGAGACAUCAAAAAACCUGAUGUCGUGAUCUUUAUCGCGGUCACAUACCUUUAUAAAAAACCUUAAUCAACACUUUAUGGUAUAAGAUUUAAUCCAACGACUGAUAUUUAGCUGGAGAGGAUUCAAGUCUCUCUCUCCAUACCAUCUAUAAUUAUAUUUGUUGUUUGACAGGGGAAAAGACAUUGAAAGUCAUGAAAUGCUAAGCCAAGGUUUUACUCAUGCCUUCUUGAUGACAUUCAAUCGGAAACAGGAUUUGAAUGCUUCACCCAAAUCAUUUUGAGUUCUCCAAGAUAUUUUCAAUUGCUCUUGAGAAGAUUGUGGUGCUGGAUUUUCCAUCUAACAUUGUCAAAGCACUAGCAUGAUCUUGAAGAUAUUCAAGCAAUUUAAAGUUUUCAUAUUUGAAUAGUAUGCAUGUGUGUGUAAGGAUCAAAUAUUUUCAGUUUGUUUUUGCUAGUUCUCAUGCAAUUUCAACUUGUUAUAGAAGAACAUUCCAUAAAUUUGAAAAUAGAAUUGCAUGAGUAUGUUUUCAUUGAUUUAUUUGUGCUAGUCUCUUUGGAAGAGUUUAUGACAAUCAACUUAUGGCAUGUCCAUUAGCUGAUUUCAACUUAUUUUUAUAAGCUCUUCAAGAUAACUUAUAAUAAAAACAAUUUAUAGCUUAUAUUAAAAAGUUUGACUUUAUUUGAUCUUAUGCUAUAGAAAUAGCUUUUAUAAAAAGUGCUUACCAAUAUGUUAUAAGCGAUUAAUUAAGAUGUUUAUCGAAACAAAGAUUAAUUCUCUCCCAAUAGUUUCUACCAUCUUUUGUGUAACAGCACAUUUAAUACGUCUCCAAUAUCAAACAUAUUAAAAGAAAUUCACAAACAAACACAGAGAUUGUUACAAAGGGAGAGUGUACUAAACUAUUCAAAGUUAAGGAACUGCGGUCAAGAUCUUCAUCCACUGCGCAUGAAAAACAUCAUUUACUUUGUCUAACAAAGCCUAAACAGAAAAGCAACUUUAGGAGGCCAUUAAAUGAUUAUCAAUAGUGAAAGUAAUGUGGCUUGAUGACUAAUUUGGAAUAAGUUAAAAUACUUUAUGAAGGAUGGGCUUCAAAAGUUCUACACCAAUAUACCUCAAAGUAAUGUGGCUUUUACUAGUGACAUGAAAAAGGAGGAAAAAGAAAGUCUUUAAUCCAGCAAUGGGACCAACAUGGAAAUAAAUUUGGAUUUAGUGUCUCUCUAGGCCUCUUUACCAAUUUUAAAAAAAUUGGACCAGAGAUCCAACCGAUUAGACAUCUAGAUCACGGUUCAAUUAGUUCAACCACAAUUAAACCAAAUGAUAAAUAAAAAGAAGUUAAAAUGAUAAAAAUUAGUUGAAUCAAUUGCAAUUCAACCUGAUUUAAUCAAACUAUAAUGUAAUCAGGAUCAAACCAACCCGCGAACUAACUGAUUCUUGAUCAAUUAGUUCAACUGGCCGGUUAAGUCCGAUUUUUCAAAUAUUAGACUUGACACUAAUACACUAUGCUUUCCUAUCUACAAUCCAGUAUCAUCCAAACAAAAACACUAGAAUAUUCAAAUAAUUGAGCAGAAUUUUGCAUUGAUACUAGAGAGAAAGGGAUGAACAUGAAGCCACUCAAGAAACUCCAUCUUAUUCAAUUCUUACUCCUAUUCAAUCUCAUAUUAGGUUCAUCUACACCUCACCAUAAUCACACAAACAACUGUGAGAAUAUCAAAACUCAACCACCUUUCUUGACUUCAAAUUCUUCUAUAUCUUCUCAAUUAAGGAUAACUGUUAACGUUCCAACUCAUGCACCAGAAUUUUGCAAAGGCUGUGAAAAUCCUAAUGGAAACUGUAAUGCUGGCUUGAAGUGUUUGUGUCAUCCAAAAGAAUGCAGUAAGUGCCUUAAUCAUAUAAAGUUUUUUAUUCUAUUUGUUUGAAGUUAUGAGAAAAAUAUGUAAAAGUUGUGACACUAGGAUGAUAAUUUUGCAGAAGAUAAGGUCAUCUCCAAGGUUGGAUCCAUAAAUUCUACUGGUAGUUUGUUUUUCUCUUUGCUUUCUUUCAUUUGUACAGUAGCCUUCCUCAUCAUGUAUGUCUAAGUCUAACAAGCUUAUCCAAGGACUGAAUUAUUUUUAGUAAUGUUUUAAAUCGCGAUAAAGAAACGGAUGAUGCAGUCUCGUUCAAGAUCAUGUUAUGGCCUAAAUCACUGAUGCAGACCCUUUUUUAAAUUAUUAGGUUAUGUAAUAAUUUGUACCUAUGUUAUUUGCUGUAUGUAUGCAUCUAAUAUCUAUAGUUGUUGAAUCUCAAUUUUGGGAUAUAUAUAACUAGCACAAAACAGUGAUUAUCUAUAUUUCGUAGUUAUAAAUCGCGGUCCAUGACUGUAAUACCAGAUGCGUCGAUUGCAUUUCUCCGUAAUAAAAGAGUUCAAUAUGUAUGGCACAAAACGGCAAACCAAACACACUGCCCAAAAUAUAUGGUUUCUUCUAUAUUGAAGUUGAAUUUUGGAAUCAAUGGAACAGAUGAUCUCCUCCUAGAACAGAUGAUAUCCUCCUGUGAACAUGUAUGGUUUCUUCUAUUCAUGAGCUGUUAUGAAACAGUUUGAUUCUCGAAACUUUACACAACGGUAGAUCUAAUGAUUGAUGUGGCUGUUACAGUAGUAAUGCUAUACAAAUAAGCGCCUAACAAAUAUGUAAAAUGAUUCCAAAACCAUUGCUAAUACUUUCAUCAAUAUUAAUAAUGACGGGGGCUUCUUCCAUUAACUGAUGCCAAGUCACAACUCUAUCAGAAAGCAAUUUAUGAAGAGGGAAAAUUUCAUGAUCAAUGCAUUGAGAAUUCCUAGCCCUCCAGGCCCCACUCUCCUUCACAAGUAACAAAGAUUCAGCUUUGAUAAAUUAAUUUGUGUCGCUAUGGUGAAAGAAAUUAGUGUUGUGAUUUAAGUGUUUUUAGAGUGAUUCAAAAUUCUCUUGUUCUACAAGUCCCACAUAGAAAUGUUAAAAGGGUUUUUGAGUUUUUAUAUACUAAUGAGUUUUAUUGUGUUGUUAGGUUGAAGGGAUGAGCAUUUGUAAUUCUAUAAAUCAAUGGUGAUAAAAGUUAAAGUUUGUUCUUCAUUUCGACUUUUGAUUAAUUGGUAAGAAGGUUUAGUAUCUGAAGAAAUUUCCCGUCUUCAAACAUAUUAAAUCCCCUGCAUUGUCAAGGUCUGACAUGUUAAAUUCCCUUUUCGUUGACUUGUUAGCCUGUUCAAACAUAUUCUCAUAUUUACCGGUUAAUAUCAAAUCAUCUACAUAAAGACUAAUUAAUGAGAACAUUACCUCCUUUACUUAUCUUCACAAACAAGGUGUGCUCAUAUGGACAUUUCUUCACUUCAGUCAUUUUGAUUAAUUGUUAGAAGGUUUAGUAUCCGAAGAAAAUUCUCCUCUUCAAACAUAUUAAAUCCCUCGUAUUGUCAAGGUCUGACAUGUUAAAUUCACUUUUCGUUGACUUGUUAACCUGUUCAAACAUAUUCUCAUAUUUACCGGUUAAUAUCAAAUCAUCUACAUAAAGACUAAUAAUGAGAACAUUGCCUCCUUUACUUAACUUCACAAACAAGGUGUGCUCAUAUGGACAUUUCUCGAAUACUUCCUUGGUGAAAUAGGCCUAGAUGCAGCUGAACAAUGCUCGUGGUGCUUGUAUAACGCCAUACGAAGCCCUUUUAAAUUUAUACAUCUUCAGCUUAUCACCCUUAUAGUUUUUAUUUCAUUUUUACUCUUAUUUAAAAAAUAAUGUUGUGUAAAAAUAAAAGAUAUAGUCAUUUAUUAGUGUUACAGAGUAUUUUAUAGCAUAUAUAAACUCUCUUUUCUUACCUUUUUAUGGUCAUUUCGUUUACUAAUAAAUAUUAAUAAUGGUUUUUUUUUACAGGAAUAAUAGGUUUUUAUUUUAAUUUCUAUUUGGAUGUUUUUGUUUUGACCCCUCACUCGUGUAGGUAGGUGCUUAGAUAUAAGUAGGAUACGAUAAUCACAAAUGAUUAUGCCAUGGGUGUGUAUGAAGAUCUGAUGAUAAAUUGUACUUUUACAAUUAUAAAGUUGUGCAAACAAUGAAAUGUGAUUGAAUAGAUACCAUUAAAUUUCAAACAAUGAAAUGGACCGAUAAUAAUAGAGAAAUGAUAUUUGUACAACUAUUAUGUUAUAAUUUUUGGACAACUUUCUCUCUCAUAGUCACAUGAGAUUCUUAUUUUCUCUCUCAAUUGUUUUUGACCAAUAAGAAGAGAGAAAAGCAAGAUUGUCACCAAAGUUGUCAUCAAUUGGAUGUACAAAUAUCACUACUCAUAAUAAUAUUGUAUCAGGGUUAUUGUCCUCCGCAAGCCGAAUAUGGGUCGCCCUUCGUGAUCUAACCCCACCCACCAUCUCUAACUUCUCUAUGACUCCCUAAAACUACCAUAAGAUUGUGCUUCAAGCAUGAAAAUAUACUCGAAAGUACUUUUUGAUCAUCCAAAUUACCUGUAUAACGGCUUCACAAUUCCAUUCCUCUUAUACAUUAUUAAUAAAUAAUAAUAUUGACGGGGGCUUCUUCCAUUAACAGAUCAAAAGUCACAUCAAAAAGCAAUUUAUGAAGAGGAAAAAUUUCAUGACCAAUGCAUUCAGAACAUGUAACAAAGAUUCAGCUUUGAGAAAUUAAAUUGUGUAAUUAUAGUGAAAUAAAUUAGUGUUGUGAUUUGCGUGUUUUUAGAGUGAUUCAAAAUUUUCUUGUUCUACAAGUCCCACAUAGAAAUGUAAAGAGAGUUUUUGAGUUAUUAUAUACUAAUGAGUUUUAUGAAGUUGUAAGAUUGAGGGAAUGGGCAUUUGUAAUUCUACAAAUUGAUAAAAAUUACAAGAGUCCAUUUCUUCUCCACCCUUUUGAUUGUUAACAUACAAUUCUUUUUUGACUAAACAUAAAAUUAUUACCAAAGCAGCUCAAUACAAUGAUAACGAAAUAUCCAUAGAAUAGUUUAUUUUUAUUUGACCGUCUACGGAGAGAAUUCACGUAACCCAAAAACUCGAAAUUUUGAGGAGUGAAAUAAUUUAUCUGAGCAUAGGAAAAUGAAAGUGACAACAUUUAUAGACUUUGUAGAAUGUAACCAUUGGAGACACAUCAUAAGCUGAAAAACUGAAACAUGGGAGAUACAAUCAAAGCAUAACGAGAAUUUGGAUUUAAGUGGCAAAAAUAUAUGAAUUAUGUUUUCUUAAUAAGAUUUUAAAAAGACUCCCUACGUGAGACACAACUAAGAGUAGUUCUGAAGGCAUUUUCGACGAAUACUAGAAAGGAAUAUCCCUUAAGGUGUUUUUGGCUUUAAUAAUAAACUUUCAAGCAAAAGAUCCUAUUCUAUAAUCCUCAUGCAAAAGUAAUAUAAGAUAUAUCAUAUUUACUGGAAAGGCUAAUGAGGUUGAUGUUACAUGCUCCAAACCAAUUUUCCUAGUAAAGGAGAAUAAACUUAUCUAGCUUUUCACAAACCAAACAAGCCUACAAACAUUUUAGUUAAGCCAUGCUCAAAAUAUUUCGAGUCACCCUAUAAAUUUACAGACAAAUUCCUUGAGGGACCCAACAUGUCUUUAUAUCAUAGUUUGAAAUAGAAGUGGAGAUGGAAGGCUAAUCCUCCAUCUGUUUAGAGUUUUUCGUUCUUCCUUAUAAAAGAAUAUAGAUACCUUUUUUUUUAAUCAAUGAUGAAACAAUAGAAAGACAGUGAAGUGAGAAAAGGGGAAAAAGCGAGGGUAAAAGGUGUUGUGAAAUUAGAUAUGGUAAUUAUACAAAUAAGAAAUUAAAGAGAAAUAUCAUAACAAUUAAAUAUGGCUAAUAAUAAAGUAAAAUUAACACACACUGUUAUGUAACCUGAGGCGUGACAUAGUCACUGUCCUUGAGGAUUUUAUCCGCCUCAUUAGCGCGUAUCCUUCCACGAUACAACAUGUCAAAAUAAUCAUAAAGAUAACCGGAGAUGUAACCUAGAAACUCAAUAAUUUGGAUGAGAGAAAAUAAUUGUGUUUAGAGAAACACAUAAAGUGAGAGAGAGUAUGUAUGUGGGUUGAUAUUUUUGUGCAGUGCCUUGCUAUUUGUUCUGUACGUAUGUGAAUAUAUAUGGCAGAAACUCUCAAUUUUUGAUGGGAUAAAACCGCAAGUGCACGGUUCUAUCGAAGUAGUAAUAAAAAGUAUCGUUCCGACAGGUGAAUAUAUAUGGCAGGAACUCUCAAUUCUUGAUGGGAUAAAACCACAAGUGCACGGUUCCAUCGAAGUAGUAAUAAAAAGUAUCGUUCCGACAGGGAGUUAUGAAUUUAAUUAACUUUCAACGGUGUUUAGAAAAGAGUUUUAGUUGAAAAAGUUUGGAUUUUUAAUUAAAAGAAAAUAAUAAAAAUAAAAGCGCCUUGGAUUAUUGGUUCAUCUAAAUAACAAGUCCUUCACAAACAAACCCUAAACCAGAAUUUUAUAUUGGAUUUACUUUCUAACAACAAGUUUCUCUUUAGCCUAUCACAUCUCCUUUCGGUCUCACUGAGUGUGUUCCUCUAGCAACCAUGCCUAUUUUCAUGGUUGAUUGCUAUUAGAAUCCUUGAAGUUCGAAACUUUAUAUGUCUCAAGGUUUGCUAGACUAUUUUCAUGUUUUGCAAUCCUUGUCUAAAUUCAUUUGUUCCAAUAUCAAAACUCCACUUUCGCUUUAUGAAUUGAUAUUUGAGAUGAUGAAUUAACAAUUACUAACCCUCCACUUUCGCUUCUACAGUUUGGUAAUUGUUAAUUCAUGUGAAAACGAUGAAUUUAGAUUAGAAAGUAGAUUUAUAUAAAAUUUGGGUUCAAUGCUUGGUUUGAUUAGGGUUAUGUCAUUUAGAUUUACCCAACAAUCCCAAGACUAGAAGAGUCUACCCACUCACGUUCAUUGUAGACAUAGAAGAGAAGAAGAAGAAGAACAUAAAAUAAAGGUGAACUUUUAUUCAAAGAAACAAUUGUCACUUAUUAUUUCAGAGAACAAAAGAUGAUUUGUUGUGAUGACUAGUUACUCUAUUUAUAGUUUACAUUCGACUUAAAACCUAAGCAAUACAUCACUAGAAUGUUCCACAAGAAACUGUGGGCUUUUCGAUCAAAACUAAAUAGAGUAGCUUAAAAUCUAAGUAAAAGCAGCAAAAGGAAGUUCUGGGAGGUGGCACGGCCGUGCCAGUGGGAGCAUGGGCCGUGCCAAGCUUCUGACUUGGGGGAGACAUAUUUUUGUCUCCAAAUCUUCGUAUUUUCGUUACGAAUCAGCUCCAAACCCCUUUCUUUUGCUCCAAGACUCAAUCUAUCAAAUAUUCAUUCCUGAAAUAUAAUAGUAUGCAAGUGAAGUAAAAUAACUUUAAAAGGAAAUUAUAUUAAAAUAAAAUAAACUUAAAUCUAAUUAAAAAUGACUUAAAUAUUAUAUUAAAACUACUAAUUAUUGACUCAUCAAUUCUCAUAGGCUAACAAAACCGGUUAGUGAAGUAGGUACUAACCUUUGACUAAUCAUAAUAAUAGGAACAUGUGGUCAAAAGGAAUAAAAUAAGAAUCUCUUAAUAAUGAUGAGCAUGGAGAUAUUUAAAGGGAUAUUGAAACUAGUCAACAAAUAGAAAUAAAGUAAUAAUAAUUCUAAUUUAAAUUGUUUUUUUAGGAAUAAGAAAAACUUUUGAAAUAUUUAAUAAGACAAAAAUUCAACAAAAGGAAAUGCCACUUUGAAAUGGGCCAAUAAUAUCAUCAAACAAGGGUUUGAACCUAUUGACCAUAAGCCUCCAACCUGUUUUUGGGACAAUCUUCAGCAUGCUGAUUGAAUUUUUAAUACAUUCAUUAUUCAAAAAAUGAUUUUUCAUUGAGCUCUUUCACUUUUAACACCACAUUUGAAGCCACAAAAGCAUUAGCCUCUCUUUCUCAAACAUGUUUCAAAGAAGGUUCGUUUUUUUCACUUGUAAGUUCAGCAAGUGCUCUAUAGAACAAUUUGUACAUUCAUGUGGAAUUUCUGAAGUCACCUUGAAAACCAAAGGAUGAUGAUUCAUUUGGUCUUGAAAAGUGUUAUCAAACACCAAUGUUGUGCUGUUGGAACAUCAAUGUCUUCUUGAUAAUGAAGGGAAAUGAGUUCACAAUUAGCAAUUGAUUCCAAGUUUUCCAUCAUGAAAGUGUUGUUAGCUUUCCUGCAAGAGGAUAAUUGUAAACCAAAACCUUUGAGGGUGCUUCUUUGAUCACACAAGCAGGGUCUUUUUGGUUAUUUUGGAAAUCAAGCAGGGUCUCACGCAAAGGACCAACCGCAGAAUCUGAAUUGACAAAUCUAAUUUCAGUUUCAGAGUCAAAGUUGUUGGCGCCUCUAAUUCAUCCAGAUGUCAAUCUUUUGCGGCUUCUUAUAUCUGUCUCUGUUGGAAAACUAGUUGAAGCAUUGCUUCUCAGGUCAUCUGAUCGAUACGCACUGUUUCUGAAGUUCGAUUACCUGAAUGACUGCUCUGUCAAGGCCGGAAACCACUCACUGGUUGUCAUAGUGGUAGAAAACUUCGGUCCUCCACUAAUCGGUACUUGACUGAGCAAGGAACGCCUGCAACGGAGCUCAUUCUAAUUCAUAAAUAUCACCAAUGCUAUGUACAUACCAAAACAAAGGUCAAUACUAAUUAUUUUGGUCAGCAUCAUGAAAAGCUUAAUUUCGUCUUAUCAACCACGAUAUAGAUGCACCAGAAUGAUUCAACAAUAUAUACAUAAGAAAUCUCUUCUUUUAUGUUUUUUUUUUUUUCAUUUGGAGAAAAAUAUAAUGUCUUAGAUAACGACUUUCCAGAGAAAAAAAAUUAAAUUACAAGUACCUCAAGAGGAAUAUGGAUUACUUGAGACAGUUGACAUGUGGUGAUAUGAAAAUAAAUGGAAGGCGUUCCUCUUCCAUGCCGAGUGAGUUCCCCGUCUCAGUAUAAGUUUGAACAAAGAAUCAUCCUGCAUGUAGCCAAGCUUAAAAAUAUGAAGAAAAAAAAAAUAAGCGGGGAAAGAUAGUAUGUAUAGUAACUGAUGAAGAAGAGGAUGAGACGGAGUCGGAGACAGAGACAGAGAGGGUUUAUUGGUUCCUCCAUUGAUCCACAACCUCCUAAACCCUCCACUGUCUUGUUCCGACGCUGCUUUAGUUGCAUAUUAAAACCGAGUUGUGAUGCUAAACAAGUGUGAAUUUGAUAGCCUUCUUAUCAUCACCGGUAUUUUCCCUUCUUAUAUAUCCUUUGCGUGUCUGCCAAUAUAUAAUCAAUAAAAAAUUAGAUAAACGUAACGAUUAUAACAACAUAAGAUUAGAAAAAGCUUCAAACAUAGACAGAAUGGAACCUGAGGAUAGGUCCUAUUGUAACAAAAGAAAAACAAAAUUAUCCUCAUUCUAAUGUCAAGUUCCUGCCACCACUGCAAAAGUAGGAGAUGCAUGAUUAAUUCAACUUCGAUUUCACGUUUAUCCUAUAACAUUUGAUUAGAAACAGUUAUGGUCAUAUAAAUAUGAUAAAGGAUGAAAGAUAACCUUAUCAACAUAUUCAUUAGAAACAAUAACUGAGACUUGUGAAUGAAGUAAGCAAUCCUAAUGGAAGCUAAAAAACACAGGAAGAAGACAAAGACACAACUAGAAGGUUCAGAAGGAUUAUCUCCAGUUUCAUGUUUUGAAAUACAAAAAAGUAUGUUGGAGCUACUCAGACGUUGAACUCGCUUGACAUGGACUGUUCUAUUUUCACAUCACUCCAUGAAACCAUUUACAAGAAAUUCAAAUUCCUCAUGAGGCACAUUACAAUUCAUUUUUCCUGUUUACCGCCGUUGAUGAUUGUGAAUUACAGCAAUUGAUGUUUCAGUUUCUUCGAUAACUAUCUAUUAUUCAUUGCUAGAAAAAUAUUCCUUUUAAUGUAAACAGUCUGAAUUGGUUUUUUGUAGAAUGAUGACCAUUGUAAUUUGUAUAUAUGGGACGAUGAACUUGACUCACCUAGAGUAAAAAGCUUGCUUCGAAGAAUUGUAGAAAAAAAACUCCAAGGCUGAAGGUGGCUGUAGCAAGUAUCAAAACAUGGGUUCAAUUUCGUCUAACUUUGGCUCCAGCAACACUGAAGUUCCAUCUCCAAAUGUUGAGGGUGUGUGCAAGAAGUGUGUACUGUAGUCUGAAUUUGGAAAGGAGUUAGGCAAGGAGUAUGGGAAGGAAACGGCCUCGAAGAAGCAUAUGAAAACAAUGAAGAAGCUGCAAUAUGAAAGGAAGAAAAAUGCAGGAAUGAUGAUUGCACUUGUGUUGUCCUGAAUGUUUUUUUUAGUUGUCUUAAGUGGAUGUAAUUGUAGUUUGGAUAAUAUAAGUUUAUCCUUUGUGUAUUGGUUUUCUAUCUAACUUAAGAUUGUAAUGACAAUUGAGAUGUUUAUCUCUAUUAAUGAAGUUUGGUUUUCUAUCUAAUUUUGUUUAUUUUUCUAAUUCACUUGCAACUUAAUGACAAAAAUGAAAGAAAAGAACAUGAGUCAUUACAUAAUAAUGCACAUAAUGUGCUAUGUUUCAAUAUAUUGAAAUAAGUAACAAAGAUUCAGCUUUGAGAAAUUAAAUUGUGUCGCUAUGGUGAAAGAAAUUAGUGUUGUGAUUUAAGUGUUUUCAGAGUGAUUCAAAAUUCUCUUUUUCGACAAGUCCCACAUAGAAAUGUUAAGAGAGUUUUUGAGUUUUUACAUACUAACGAGUUUUAUAAAAUUGUAAGAUUGAGUGGAUGAGCAUUUGUAAUUCCAUAAAUCGAUGGUGAUAAAAAUUACAAAUGGUCAUUUUCUUAGUUGAUGGGUUACAAAAUAAAAUUUCAUUUUUUAGAAAUUGUGGUUGAGUUUAACAAAAUCCCACAAAAUUGGGUUGUAAGGUGAUGGGUGUCACUCUUUAUAAGAUAUAUGGGACUUGGUUUUUAAUAUACCCUCUCACCCCAUUGCUAUUGGACUUGGUGCAUAAAUACAAAUCAUGGGUGACUUGAAUCAGGGUAGAUUCUGAGUGACUUGAAUCAGGGUAGGUUCUGACAUUAUCUUAGAAUUUAUGGUUGGACCCAACACAACCCUAUAAAAGUUGCUUCUAAGGUGAGGGAUGCCACUCUUUAUAAACUCUAGUCAGAUUUUAUCUUUUAGCUUACAAGAGACUCAACUGUUACAUUUAAAAAAAAAAAAAAAUCUUGGUAUCCGAAGGAUUGAUUAAUCCGAGGGGAUCAAUCUCACUGAAUUAUUAUUUUUUUACAAUUUGUUAAUUACUUUUUGCACUAAAGAAGAGAAUAAAUGAUUUCGUCAUAAUUUUGAAUCAUGGAUUUUGUGUCCUUUUAUAUUAGCAAAAUAUAUCUAUUUUACAGAGAAACUUAAGUCACUUAAAACCCGUAUCCUCACACUCCUUCCAAUUUUCUGAUUGGUUGCAUAUUGAGCUUGGUAUCCUUAGCAUCAACUGAUUAUGUUGAGUCAAUGAAUGGACUAAUCAACUUCUCUUUUACUAACAAUUUAGUUUUUUAAAUACAAAUAAUUCACGAAGGGACUUAUAAGCAUUGGAUUUUGUCAAGAGUUGUGAAAUUAUUUUCUUGGCUCACUUAGUUUACUAGAUCAAAAACAAAUAUAAUUAUGUUUUCGAUUAUUUAAAGAUAUUUGUGGUGAAAAAUAUAAGAGUUUACACUUUAAAUUACAUUGAUUCAACUGGAACAUGGCUCGAUUUAUUUAUAGAACUGAGGAUCGAAAAUAUGUGGUUGAAAAAAUUGUGGACACUUCGUACCAAUAAUAUCAUUAUUUAAAAAUAUUACACAACAUUUUAGAAGAUAAAAUGUGAAAAGAUUACAAAUAAGAUAUAUCCUAACUUACUAAAAAAAAAUAGCAUACUUAUACUUGGAAGAAAUAUAACAAGAAAAAGGGCAUUAGAAAAAAGAAACAAAGCAUUUUUUUUUUAUAGCUAGGAACUAUCUUCAUCAACUUUCAUGACCUUAAGGAAUUCCAUCUCCUCCUUAAACUUAGCCAUUGAAGCUUUUGGAAGUGACACAAAGAUCCUAACUCCUCCUUUCAUUGAAGGAUCCAAAUUAUUUGGAGGCAAAAAAAGGCACAAAUCCACAAAACCAAACAUGUUCCAAGGAACAGGCACAAUAUUCACUGAAUCUUUCCAUCCAAAAUCAACUUCUUGCAACAAACCAAGUUGUCUCCAAUCAGUUAACACCAAUGAUGCACCAGUUCCUUCAAUCCUAAUAUUCCUUUUCCUCAUUGUCUCCAAUAUAUUAAUUGAAUUUUUUAUAUAUUCAUUAUUCAAAGGAAGCUUUUUACUCUCUUUUAUAAGCUUAACAAUUUCAAAAAGUGGUUUUUCAUUAAGCUCUUUCACCUUUAAUACCACAUUUGAAGCCACAAAAGCAUUGCCAUAAUAACCUUCAUGCAAAGGUGGAUCCAAAAGUUUUCUCACCCCUACUGCUAAACAAAACAUAGUUUUCCCAUCAUUGUUCAAUUUCAAAGCUUUUACCUUUGACUUCCAAACAUAUGCACCAAGUGUUUCAAGUGUUGUGAAAUUUUCCUUUAUUACAUGUUUCCCAUCAUCACUUUCCUUCAUUAGUUUCAUUUUGAGCCUUUUUAUAGUGUCACCAUUUAAGUUAAAACAUUCAUGUGAAAUUUCUUUAGUUGGUAAAAAAGGGGAAGUUGCUAUUGAAGUCUUAUCUAUGAGAAAUUGAAAUGGUUGUUCUUUAAGAGUACUUUUCGCUGUUAAUCUCUCUCUCUCCCAAACAGGUUUCAAGGAUGGUUCAUUUUUACCACUUGCAAGUUCAGCAAGUGCUCUAUAGAAUUGAGAUGCACCAUAACCAUCACAAACACUAUGUGACAAUCCCAUUCCAAUUGUGAAACCACCACAAAGAAACUUUGUCACCUUGAAAACCAAAGGAUGAGGACUAGUUUGAUCUUGAGAAGGGUUAUCAAACACUAAUUUUUGUGCUGUUGGAACAUCAAUCCCUUCAAGAUAAUGAAGGGAAGAGAGUUCACAAUUAGCAUUUGAUUCCAAGAAUGGAACUCCAUCACCAUUGCAAUUGAUUCCAAGUUUUCCAUCAUCAAGUGUUGUUAUCUUUCCUGCAAGAGGAUAAUAGUAUACCAAAGCUUUUGAGAGUGCUUCUUUGAUUACACAAGCAGGGUCUUUUUUGUCAUUUGGGAAAUCAAGAUUUGGUUUGUAGACAUAAAUUGUUUGGCAAAGAAUGUUGAUGUUAGGAUCAUUGUCAAUGGUGGAAAGUGAAAGAAUUUCAGAAGGUGUGGGCAUGGAGGGUUUAACAAUCACAAUGUCCUUGGUUUCAAGACUAAGGGACGGGGAUUUCUUGUGAUUUUCCAUGAUGAAAGAUGUUUAGAAAAUUGAGAUGUGAGGUGGAAUGGGUGUGCUUCGUAUGUAUAUAUAGAAAUUUUUAAAGUUGGAUUAGUAUAACUCAACUAGGGGUAUACGUGGAUCGGUUUAGAUUGGGUUUGUCCAAACCUAAAACUCAAAUCAUACAAAGUACUCUGAUUUAAGUGAAGUAAAAUAAUCAUUCGUGAUAUCAUUAGGUCAGUUUGAGUAAACUCACUAAUUUUUAGGUUUGGUCGGAUUGUUUUGCAGGUUACCUAAAUUAUUUUCCGUUUUUCUCUUUUAAUAUUAAAUAAUUAAAUGAUGAGUCUCAGUAGUUUUUCAUAAAAUUAGUCUACUUUUUUAUUUUCUUAAAAAAUCGUAACUUUUUUUUUUGGUUACACAAAUAAUCCUAACUUAUUUUCACUUUUUUUUUAGCAUGAUAAAAUAAUAAGUGAUAAUAUUAGAAAAUAAACUUUAUAAAAUACUUGGAACAAACUAUAUGUUCAUGACAUAAAAUUGCACUAGCAUCAAAAUAAUUAAAAAAUGAAAAUGUAAUUUGAUUUAUGAUCAAAACCUUUGGUAUUUUCCUUUUUUCCUAUGAAAAUAAAAAAAAAAAACGACAUUAUUAGGUAAGUAGGUUUUUUGGAUAUGAGUUUAGUUUUACCAAUAAUUCAUUUAUUUUUAUAGGUUUUUCAUUUUUAGAAACCAUACCCACCCAAUUAUCCGACCCAACCAUUUUGUUGGGUUUUGUGAUGGGUUUAACCAGGUUUUUCAGGUUGACCCAACCUAUAUACACCCCUAAACUCAACAUUACAAAAUCAGGUAGGAAGAUGUAUUCCACUUAUGUUAUCACAAUUUUAAGUCAUACGUCAUUCAAAUGUAUAACUAGAUGGUCUAAUAGCGGAUGACCCGACAUAUAUUAGAGAGAUUCUGAUAGUAGUUUAAAACGAUUGAUGGGGAAGGUAGUUUAAUUUUACGAGGUAAGAGAUAAAACAUUGGAGCUCCUGGAUUUAAAUUUGAACGAAAGAUGAAAAAAAAUUAAUAUAACAAUUAAUUAUUAACAUUUUUCUUAAAAAAAAAAAAGUAGUUUAGAUUGAUCUAAGGAUCUUACACAAUCUUACGAAAACGAUUUUUAAAAUGAUGAUUACCUCCUACUUAUAAACACAUAUUAAAGUCAUAUAUCAUCAAAUGUGAGACUCUCGACUAGAUUUUAUAGCUCUCUUUUGGCUUUAUCCAUCCACUGUAAAAUCAGAAUCAUUACGAUCCCAACUUAGAAGUGGACUAGGUUGUUGAAGUAGUUGACAGUGACACCUUGAUUUGGUGAGUAACGCGUUUUUGAAAGAUUAGAUAACAAUCAAGCUACUAAGUUUUAGUUAUCUUUCAAUAUAUAAAUAUUUGUAAGAAUUUGAUAGGAUAAAGCUUAAUGGAAACUACAUCAUGAUUUAUGCAUGCAUGGUUGCGUUUGGCUUGCAAGUAAGAAUUUGAUAUGGUUUUAUCUUAUCAUCUACAUCAUGAUUUAUUUUGUAACUAGUCACAUGCUGGUUGGAGAUUUUGAGAGGGAGUCAAUGAUGGGGACACUUAGUAGAUAAUAUAUUUUUAGGUGGACAAGUAUAAAUGUAUAUAGACCAUGGUAAGUGGAAAUCAAGACACAUGAUCAUGAUCAGAUAAUUCCUGGAUCGCACUCAAUAAAGCUACUGCUGAAGGUUUCACACACAGAUCAUGAAGAAAUUUAGAUGUUGGUUGUCACUUGUUUUCAUAAUCUCAAAGGGUUUGUUCUAUGGGGUUUUGUCAAUGUGGUAGCUAAUUAAUUGGUUUUGUCCAACAUAAGAACAUAUUAAUUUUUCAUAGGGUUUUUCAUAUACUAAUAUUUGUGUCUGAUCCGCCAAAAAAACAUCUCAUUUUAUAUUCGAAUUUAUGAAAAAUUGCUAGUUUUGAUCAUUGUAAUUAUUUUAAACUUGAACAAGGCUCAAUCCUCGAAGUUAAAGUCCACUCACAAAGCUAAGACUCAAUAAGGCGCUCAAAUGCACUCGCGGAUCACUUGUACUAGCAAAGAUCCGCAAAUUAGUAAAUAAAAUGCUCAGAGCCCACUAAACCCUCCAAACAAUCAAGCUGUCACUUGAAUUUUGUAGAUGCUUCAUCUCGUGUUAGUGAUGAACAAUUUAAUACCAUUGUCAACCACCAUAGCAGCUCUAAAGCACCCACUCUGGCCAUCCCUUCUGAUUGUGUACAAAUCAAUGGUGUCGUUUGAGGGAAUGAGGUUCUCGUAACAUCGUUCCUUCGAAUUCUUCAUAAUAUCAAACUAAUAAUCAAUAGAUGGAAAAGGUUCCAAAUCAACCGCAAUAACCAAGUCUACGAUGGAGAUUCCACACCAGUCCCAUGUGAUUGGAGUGCCAUGAUGCCAACAACUUGCUAAUGAUCUUGACCAUUGACGACAUGAUCAAAGGAUAUCACUAAUUUCUGGAAGUACAUGUAUUGUCUUGAGAUCCAACAUCUUAUGGGAGCUCGUCGCCCAAACCAUGAAAAUCGAUGGAGGGAGCAUGUCACAAACGUCCUAUCCAACCGAACAGAGAGGACCCUCAGCCGACCUAUCCAACCGAAAAAGGUAUCAGAAGACUUCCGUUGAGGUUUUAGGAAAAAAUUAUACUAGGAGGAAUGACAACCCACAUCUUUCUACUUAUUAUCACGAUCUAUAUAGUCGGGUUUAAAGUAAUAAGAGUCAUGGUCGAUCAAAGCAGUAGCUACGAUGUCAUGUUGUCAACUUGUUCAAAACCUUGUAGCAGCCCAUCCAGUGCCUUCGACCUACAACAUGAUAAAACCACAAAGAUUUGACGGUUAUCUUUGAAGGAGGGGGAAUGUAUUAGGACAGUCAAAAUGUGCUUCCUAGUGGUUGACAACAUAUCAAUGUUCAAAUGUAUUUUUUAAUAGACAAUCAUCGUUCAACUGUGCGCCAUAAUGUCAAUCUUACAUUUGAAUAUGAAAUAGGGUAAAUACCCCUUUUCGUCCCUGUAAAAAAAAUAAUUAGAUUUUGUCCCUAUCAUUUGUGAUUCUUCCACUUUUGGUCCCUCGUUGUAACAGGUCAGCAGAAUCUGUUGACGUGUCAUGCUGACUGUGUAAUUAUUUAUUUUUUUCAUUAAAUUUAUUUCCACAUGGCUUUUAUUUUAUUUACAUUUAUUUAAACAAUUGAAAUCAAAUUUUUGAAUUAAAAUAAAUUAACUUAUAAUAAAAUCAAAACUCCAUCUGCAUCUUUCUUAUUUUGUUCUUAAAGCUUCAUCUUCUUCAUGACCAAGUUCAUCCCCUGGACAACCCAUAUGCCUACCGCACCCUCUACCUCAACAACCAGAAACACUCAAAUCUCUUAAUUCCAAAUCUCUAAACCCAGACAAACUUCCUCCAUAAGUAGAUUGUUCGUUGUGUUAACAUCAUGGUCCCCGUUGUUCAAUUGUCCCCCUUCUUUCCUCUACUUCUCUAUGUACCUACAAAAUUAAUUAACACUAGUCCAAAAUACACAGACACCAUCAAUCCACGCAAUAAACAGCCGCCGAAGUUUAAAACAAGCAAAAACCCAAUUUUACAGAAACCCAUACAAUGUUUUUCCAGAAAAAACAAUGGAAAUAAAAACCCAAACACAUAUCCUUUUGAUCCAGUGGGUUGUGCGUGUAUGAAUAUCCAUUUGCGGUUUUAGGGUUUCGAAUUUCCCCCUCCUUCAUUCGAAUCUGAGUUUCGAAUUGCUUUUGUCCAUUUGUUUCUUAACGCUUCAGAUCUGAAUUUUUAAGUUGGGGUUUCAUUUGAUUUGUGGUGUUAAUUGAUUUGAGAGUUUCAAUUUGAUUUAGGGUUUUGCAUUGAAGAAGAAGAAGAAGAACGAGAGUUUGAAUAAGAUGAAGAGGGGUUGUUGUUUUGUUUCAGUUUUUUAUUUUUCUAAUUUAAUGAUAUUUUUAAGUUUUUUAAAUAAGUAUAAAAUAAUUAUAAAUCAAAGAAAAGCCACGUGGAAAUAAAUUUAUUAAAAAAAUAAAAGAAUUACACAGUUAGCUAGACACGUAAGCAGAUUCUGCUGACAUGUUUCAAUGAGAGACCAAAAGUGGAAGAAUCUCAAAUGAUAGGGACAUAAUCUAAACUUUUUUUUACAGGGACCAAAACUGGAAUUCGCUCAUAUUACAGGGACGAAAAGGGAUAUUUACCCUAUGAAAUAUCACACAUAAGACACUAUAGUAUAAACUAUUCAAGCUGACCUCAAAUUAAUAAGGGGUUAUCUAUUUCCCAGAUUUUACACUGUAUGAACCAAUGAAUUAGAUGUAAAACUAGGCAGUCUUCAUCGAUGAUGAGGCAGAAGAACAAAUGAUCAACCCUCGACGCCAUAAGGAAAACCGAAAGACCAAUUAUGGAAGGAAAUUCGUUAUUGUCACUCUUAGGGACAAUCACCUCAUAAUACUCCGAACAAGUAAGGGUGGAACUUGUCGGAUGUCUACAACAAAGUGCAAACUUAUUCACAUGGUUACUAACAUAAAUACCUAAUUAUGACCCAAAAUUCACCCACUACCAACUCUCCAUUGAUCAUUCAGUUAUAUGGGUCACCUUGCAUGACAUUUGAAAUAAAGCAACAUAAAUUCUUGAUUACGACCCAAAAAUCACCCACCACCUACACUUAUACAUUUACCCCUACAAAUAAUAUACAAUUCCAAUUUUAUCCCUUUCUCAUUAUCUUCACCCCCACAGAAUAUACCAAGUUUUAUCCCUUUCAAUGGUUUGUAGGGGUUAAAGUAUAAGUGGUAUCGGUAUAAGUAGAUCUGGUUAAACGAAAUGUUAAAGCCCACUACAACUAUAAGGGGAUCCCAUAUGACUGACUUUAAACUGGGAGAUUUAGUACUCCAAACAGUGGAUGUAAAAAACAAUGUCUACCAAGGGGAACUUAUUGAUAAUUAGGAAAACCCAUACAAGAUCUUAAUGAGUACGUGGACAUGAGCCUACAAACUUGAAAAAUUAAAUAAGGUUCGCAUUAUGAGGAUUUUGAAUGCCUUAAAAUUGAAGUUAUACCACAAUUAAAUCACCAACAUACCCACAAUGACUAUAGUCAUUUGUAAGUCAACUCUACAAGAUAAUAAAUCUGGAGUUGCAAAAUACUAAUAAUUCUAUCACUAACGUUUCACUAAAAGAAACAAAAUAAAUCUAUGAUAAAUUUCCUCCCACUUAUGAGGGAGAUGAGUGGAGUGAGUACCCGACAUGGCUAUGUCCCCGCAUCCCAGUAAAGAGGAGUAAAGCAAGGCCUCCAUCGACGGAGCGUCACUUCUUCUUCCAUUGUACAAUGUUGUGAUAAGAAAAAUUAAACAAGUUUUAGAUCGAACCAAUCCAUUGACCCAAAUAGUUCAUGGGAGAAAAUUGAGUUAUUUGGGUCCUGGAGGAUUGACGGGGCGAACUGCUAGUUUUCGGAUACGGGAUAUCCAUCCUAGUCACUAUGGACGCAUUUGUCCAAUUGACACCUCGGAUGGAAUCAAUGUAAAGGGUAAUACUAAUUACGGGCAAGGCUUGAGUCUAUUUCAAUAUGGAAUCUUUGUCAAUAAGAGGCUCACAUAUUAUGGUGUUCUCCUUCCUGCCUUUUCUUGGGUUGUCCUUUUCAUCUUCCUUGCGUGUUUCUAAGGAUGCUUCACUUUCCUUAACCUCCAGAGGUGCCAAUUUCUUUUUAAUUCUUAGCUCCACUCUCAUUCCCAUUUGAUUGGUAACCUGAUUCCUUUCUUUGAAUCUUGUGAAAUCCAUGAUCAUGGUGUUUAUCGAUUUGUACAUUUUGUCCAACAUUUCUCUAUGUGUUCUUGGAUGGCCUCUCGAUUUAUUGUUGCGAUCAUUCUGAUGCUUUCUUGAGUAGUUUGCAUGUGUAGCAUGAACGCAUUCUCGAACAAGAAAUUUCUAGCUAGAGACAUUCCAUGUGGACUGAAUCGGUUUCUUAACAAGUUGCCUGGUUGAAACGACAAUCCAUGUGGAGACGAUUUUACUUACUAUUCAUUACUUAAAAACGGUUGGUGCACAUGUCAAAUUUAAUCAUCAAUGACUUUUGACUUUUGUUCGACUCUCUACUGCCCUUCCAUGAUCUCCUAAUCUAGAGUUGCACUCAUAUAAUUUUCCACCUUGAGUUACUUAUCAUAUCCAACAGUUCAAGAUUGACAAUUUUCUCCUUUUCACCAGCCUCCAACAUCACCUUGGCCUUUCAGAGGCUCCCCCAGUCCUAGGAGAUAUAACCUAUUUUUUACAUGAUCGCAAAGGCCAAUACCGUCAUCUUUAAGAGAGCACGAAAACCCUUGAUGAAAGCACGGUCGCAACCAUCAGAUCAUGGCCUAAAUCCACUAAAAAGGUAGCAACCACGGGAGAAAUUAAUCACCACCUAGUUCAGUUUUGGAUAUGGGAAUAUUCACGUUAUACUUCACGAAGAAAAAAGAAAAAAAACAAUUUCAAUUAAAGUAAAGGACAAAAACGUAUUUAAGUUUAAAGUGUUUUUAUCAAUAUCCAAAUUUGACCGUAUUAUCGAAGCUUAAUAUUUCGAUUUUCUAUUUAUUUAUUUUUGUGUAAGUUUUGUUUUUGAACGGGUACGUAAGUUUUGUUAGAAGGCAAAUAAAUAGCAACAAUACUUACUCUUUGAUUAGAACAACGCUGUCCAUGGCGUUCAUAUCGAAUGAAUUCAUUGAGUUCAUUGAUGUAAAAAAAAUAAUAUUUAUUAUUUUUUUAGUUUUUAGUUUUUAGUUUUUUUUUUCCAUCUCAAAUAACUGAAGUAAACAAGUGUAAGCCUUCUUGUGGUUUGGAAAGAGACAGAUCCAAAUUGUCGCAACAAAAGUCUCUUCUAUAACUACUUUCUUAAUUAACUGUUCCUUCUUUUUUUCCAACUGCACUUUGUCUCAAUUAUUCCAAUUUUGCUUUUGUCUCAAACCCAACAACAAGGUAUAUUUGUUGUAUGUUGUAGUACUCUUAAGAUGUGAAGAUAUUCAUUAAUUUCAAUGCAUGUGAAACUUACGUCAAUUUAAUAAUCAAAACUGAAUUACACUUUCUGUAAACUUAUAUGAAUGCACUAUCUAAUAUUCUUCUGUGGAUUUUUUCUUUAAUGAUGAUUGUUGUAUAGGGAGAUUGGUUUAAUUUGUCACACUGAUUAAUUAGUGUUUUAAUGUGUAUAAGGUUGUACAAUGGUGGGAAUAACAUUGCUUGUAGAUCUAUGGAGGAAAAACCAACAAAGCUUUAACAAGGCAUAUACCAAUCCAUCUUCUUGGCUUUUUUCUACAUCUGCCACUGCUGCCUCAAUUUCUGCUGGAGCCUCGUUUGCAUCAAAUGAUUUCUUUGGGUAUCAUCUUUCACCAUUUUUCCUCUACACAUGAAUUUUAUCCAAAUGUAAUAUCAACGUUCAACAUUUUAUGUUAAUCAUGGUUGUUUUAUCAUGGAUUAAUGAGUUUUUUAAUCUUCUUUUAUGGUAUAGUGUGGUAUUACUUUGCAUGAAUGCAUGAUUUUGUAACCAAAAAAGAAUGCAUGAUUUUAUGAUCAAGAUUUCUUGUGGUUGGAAUACCCUGGAUUAUGCGCAGUCAACACAUUAAUGAUUGUUGGAUCAAGAUCAAACGAUCCAAAUUUUAAGUUUGAUGUUUUAGAUAUUUUUUUUUUUAAAAUCAAAUAUGCAUAUUUUGUGAACUGUAUGAUCCAAAUCCAACAAUUAUCGAUGCAUUGACUGCGUGAAUAAAUUAAGUGAUAUCCCAAUUGCAGAGAAUCUAUUUUCAUACUUUUCCUUAUUGCAAAAAUUCAUGUCCAACUUUUAUACAUUUUAUCAUGAUUUUUGUAUAAAAAUAUACAUUGUUGUUUGAAAUAUAAGAAUAGUUGAAAAUUGAAUGUUGGCACCAUUCCUCAUUAAAAACCAUGCCUUUAACUUUAUUUUCCCUCCAAAUUUCCCUUCUUUAGUUAACAUUAGAACACAAAACACUCAGUUUCAGGACACCAGUGGCAUAUUGUGAUGCUGGAGUGGCAACUGCUGACGAACACCUUCCCGGCAUUCGAACUUCGCCAGGGAAAUAUUUUUACCAUGAUUCUCUAAAGUAUGGUGUAAAGACCUACAAUUUUGAACUUAAACCAUUGUGGUCUGCUUUUGAAUUGAGGUCAUUUGGACUGAUUUCAUUGAGGUCAUUCUUGAUGUUUUAUUUGCCUCUUUUGGAGCCUCAUGCAAAGAUGGAACAAGAUCAUCAUGACUUAUUUCUAGACAAUCAUGAUGAACUUCGUAGCAAGCUCACUGUUCCUUUCAAAAAGUCAGUGCUCCAAAUUGUCAGGGAGGUAAGCCUUAUUAUAUGUAUUCCAUAGUUAGUGAAUAAAAAAUUAUGGCAUAUGCAAUAUUUACAAUAACAUUGUUCAACAGAUUUUUCUAUAGACAAUUGUUACUAUAACAUUGUUUCAAAUUCAUCACAGGUUACGGUUGUGACAACUAGACGCAUUUUAGAAAGAAUUACUUUCCAUUAUGGUUCAAGAAAAAUGGCAUGGAGACUUAUUAAAGGUGUUCUUAUAUACAUAUAAAAAUGAACAUAACAAAAUCAAAUAAACUAUGAUCCUAUUCUAUCAAAAUUUUCGGCAUUCAACUUAUGCGUUCUGGUGAACAGAUGUUCCUACAUCGGCAGCUCGCAAGGCGGGAAGGAAAAUGCCAACAUAUAUUUACUUCUUUUCAGUGAGCAAAGCAACUUGUCGAGGUCAAAACAAUUAAUGAAUGAUCAAUUAUAUUUUUAUUAUAAGGUUGAUUGAUUUUUUUUUUACUUAUAACAUUUUUUUGUGCUAAUGUUUGUGUAUAGGUAACAUGCUUGGUAUUGCAGCAUCAUGGAUUGUCCAAGUAGGGGUCAGAAUAUUUCAAUUCUUUGCUACAAAGUCAAGAAAUGAGGAUGGUAGCAUUAACAAAGCUGAAAGAAACAGAAUUUUUAAACAGAAGGUUUUCUUAGCUACACUUAGGUGUAAUGCAUCUCUAAUUUUUGCAUCUAUUGGUGGAGGGAUUGGAGCUACCCUUAUUCGUCCUUCAAUUGGCCAGUGGAUUGGUAAGUUUAUCAAUAAGUCAAGUCAUUCAAGCACUAUCACAAUUGUUUAAGGUUUCUCUACACAUUUUAUUUUGUUAAACCAAAAGUAAUGCAAAGUGCAUUACCAAGAUAGAUUAAUAAAAUAUAAGCAUACAAAGAAAGAAGAGAGGGAUUAGGCCAAAACCUCUUUAAAAGGAAGUGAACCUGAAGUUAGGUAAAUUUAACCUAUUUGUGAUAUAAUCCUACCUAAUCUGUAGAGGAAUGGAAGGGAACCAAACAAAUGAAGAUAGAGCUAAAUCUAUAUUAGCAAAACUAUCCGCACGUAAGUUCAGGUUUUUCUACAAAUAUUAAGAAAGACCGUAAAUGAUUUAAUAAUUUUUUCAAAUUAUUUUUAUUAACUAUCGAAUGUUAGUUAUUGUCGUAAAUAUGUAAUCGAGUAUGAUGGCAAGUUGUGUGAACAUUAUUUAUUAUGGAGUAAAAUUAAAAAAAAAAUUGUCUUGAAAAUAGUCAUUUAGAAAUGGAGAGAGUAAUUAAUUACUUAAAUUUCAUUAGCAUGAUUAUUCAUAGUUAUUUAAAUUCUAUGUUUUUCAGGUUGUACCGUUGGUGAUUUGACUGGUCCAGUUAUUGUAGCAGUUUUUGCUAAUAGAGUUCUUCACUGGGACCUUUAGGGCUGUUUAUGUUUUUUUUUUUACAAAGUCAUUUCCAUUUCAAAUAAGUAUGAUGUAUCAAGGAUUCACGAUUUUUUGUAGCACUUAAAUGCCAUUUCUUAUUUAACCAUAUCUAACAAGUGGAACUCUUGCAUUCAUAAGAUAAGAACCAUUCCCUCAAAAAAAAAUAAAGAUAAGAGCUUGUUGUUGUUUCAAAAUAGUUCCAAAUAUAGAUGUGUGGAUAAGGUGUUAUAUAGAACUAUUUGUUUGAUUAAUAUAUUCUAUUUUGCGUGCAAUAACUAGAACAAGCACAAUAUCGUAGAAGUAAACCGUCUAAUACCAAAACGGGGAUUAGAUUUAGAGGUUCCAAUACAUUUGAGGUGUGUGUUCACAUGGGAAAGGUUAAUCCUUUCCCACCAUGGGAAAGUUGGAUUCAAUGAUUAGAUUAAGUGAAGAACAUAUUCUUAACAUGCUCUCUCAACACUAGAUUUUUCUUCACACUAUCUUCCAACAAUUUAAAAAUUCUGAAAAUUAAUUUUCAGAAAUUAAAAAAAUCGAAAAAAUAUAAAAAAAUUCAGAUAAUUUUUUUUUUUAAAUUCUGUAAUUCAUUUAUUGAAUGUUAGAUUUUUGUUUUUUUGAAAAAAAAAAUUAUUUCAAUAAAAAUAAAAUUUUGGAAACUAAGUUUUUAUUUUUCUAAAAAGAAUAUAUUUUUUAAUUUCAUAAUAAAAUAAGAUAUUCUGAAAAAUAAAAUAAAAAUCCUAAAAAAAAUAUUUUGAAAUUAAAGUAUUUUAUUUUUCUAAGAAAAUAAAAUUCUGGAAAAUAAGGUUUUUGAAAUAAAAUUCUGAACAAUUUUUUUUUUCAUUUUUUCAAAAAAAAGAAAUUCUAACAUUCAAUAAAUGAAUUGCAGAAUUUAAAAAAAAAAAAUUAUCUGAAUUUUUUUAUAUUUUUUUGAUUUUUUUAAUUUCUGAAAAUUAAUAUUCAGAAUUUUUAAAUUGUUGGAAGAUAGUGUGAAGAAAAAUCUAGAGUUGAGAGAGCAUGUUAAGAAUAUGUUCUUCACUUAAUCUAAUCAUUGAAUCCAACUUUCUCAUCCUUUCCCAUGUGAAAUGCCACCUACAUUUGAAUGGCAGCGUAUUGAAUUUUGCUUGUACACCUUAAACUGCAAGCACAAUUUUGCAUCAAUGGCGAUUCAAUUGUGUGACCAUGGAUUCUUGUAUUGCUGGUCGUAAGGAAAAAUGAGAGGUAGAGAUAGAGAGAGAGGCGGUAGCUCUAGGCAUCGCUUAAUGAGGUACAACAAGGUGAGGAGGGGUUCAAGCAGGGUGCCGAAAAUUAGGGGGAUAGGGGAGAUUGAGAGGACGUGAUCGGAAAGCGUCAAGACAUGAUGAUUG